AUUGAACGCUGGCGGAAUGCUUUACACAUGCAAGUCGACGGCAGCACGGACUUCGGUCUGGUGGCGAGUGGCGAACGGGUGAGUAAUAUAUCGGAACGUGCCCAGUCGUGGCGGAUAACGUAGUGAAAAUUACGCUAAUACCGCAUACGAUCUAAGGAUGAAAGCGGGGGAUCGCAAGACCUCGCGCGAUUGGAGCGGCCGAUAUCAGAUUAGGUAGUUGGUGAGGUAAAGGCUCACCAAGCCAACGAUCUGUAGCUGGUCUGAGAGGACGACCAGCCACACUGGAACUGAGACACGGUCCAGACUCCUACGGGAGGCAGCAGUGGGGAAUUUUGGACAAUGGACGCAAGUCUGAUCCAGCCAUUCCGCGUGCAGGACGAAGGCCUUCGGGUUGUAAACUGCUUUUGUACAGAACGAAAAGGUCUCUAUUAAUACUAGGGGCUCAUGACGGUACUGUAAGAA
rnacentral:rRNA from 1 species